CGGCAUCCUAAUCUUCAUUAUAAUCGUUCUGAUAACAAUUCUUCUCAUAUGGGCCAUCCUCCGUCCCAGCAAACCCAGGUUCAUCCUCCAAGACACCACCGUCUACGCUUUCAACGCCUCCACCCCUAACCUCCUCACCUCCAAUUUCCAAGUCACUCUAUCUUCUCGAAACCCCAACGACAGAAUCGGCAUUUACUACGACCGGCUCGACGUUUACGCCACCUACCAGAACCAACAAAUCACCCUCCGAACAUCCAUCCCUCCAACGUACCAGGGUCACAAAGAGAUCAACGUUUGGUCACCCUUCGUCAAUGGGAAUUCAGUGCCUAUCGCACCGGAAUAUUCCGCCAGUUUAGGAUCCGAUC
rnacentral:lncRNA from 1 species